AGAACGAACGCUGGCGGCAGGCCUCAAACAUGCAAGUCUAGGGGGUGUAGCAAUACAUCACCGGCGGACGGGUGCGUAACACGUGGGAAUAUACCUUUUGGUUCGGAACAACGCAGGGAAACUUGCGCUAAUACCGAAUGUGCCCUUACGGGGAAAGAUUAAUCGCCAAAGGAUUAGCCCGCGUAGGAUUAGCUAGUUGGUGAGGUAAUGGCUCACCAAGGCUCCGAUCCUUAGCUGUUCUGAGAGGAAGAUCAGCCACACUGGGACUGAGACACGGCCCAGACUCCUACGGGAGGCAGCAGUUGGGAAUCUUGGACAAUGGGGGAAACCCUGAUCCAGCCAUGCCGCGUGAGUGAUGAAGGCCUUCGGGUUGUAAAACUCUUUCGACGGGGACGAUAAUGACGGUACCCGUAGAAGAAGCUCCGGCUAACUUCGUGCCAGCAGCCGC
rnacentral:rRNA from 1 species